rnacentral:lncRNA from 1 species
AUUUUAUGUUUCAACUAGAUUGGGCCGUGGGUGCCCAGUUAUUUGGUUAAACAUUAUUCUAAGUGUUUCUGUGAGGGUGUUUUUGGAAGAGAUUAAUAUUUGAACUGGUGGACUGAGUAAAGCAGAUGGCAACCCACACGUGGGGGGACUUCACCCAAUCCAUCGAAGGCCUGAAAAGAACAAAAAGGCUGACCCUCCGUGGGGAAUGCCAUUAGUGCAUAAAUCAAAGGAAGACUGUUUAUUUUCUUCAGAAUUCCAAGAGUUGUGUAUCAUUUUGGAAAAUCACACCACCCGCAGCAGCUCAUGUUAUCUGAGUCACCAAUCCCACUCCUCUGACUUCAACUGCAUUGGAGGGGUGGCCCAACCUGAGCUUCUUGGGGCAGGUGUCAGCCCCUGAUCACUUCUUUCUGUUGCCCAGAGGCGGGUGCCUGCGUUGGAAGUAAUCAGCAAAUACUUUGUCUCAUUCUUCUUUAUAUUUCAGUUAUGACAUUAUAUUAAUUUUUCUUAAAAAUUAUGGGUGUGAGUGAGUCAUAUUAUCCAGGAAUUUCACCUCAGAAUUGUAAACCAGGUGCUUGAAUAUAUUUGCAAUAAAAAUGGGGGUUGGGUCUGACAGGCCUAAAAGCUUACUGCUUUAAAAGAAAUUUUCUAUGGAUCAAAAAUGCCUUUCGAAGUGGAAACACCAGGGAAUCAUUUCCUUUCUGGAACCUGCCGGACCUGCAGCAGCCCUGCCAGGCAGAGCAGGAGAGGCUGGCGCUACAGCAUGAAAGAGCUCUUUCUCUUCAGCCCUCACAGGUGAAAAGACACGGACGCCCCGGCCACUGCUCAAACCAAAGGAGGAAAGACUCACAGACUCCUAGGGCCAUGUGGCCCUCAAUAAGUUAGUUAUGUAUAAUAUAAGCCUCAGUUUCCCCAUUUGUAUGUUGGCAGUAAAAGUAGCCCCUCCUGUAUUGACUUCCUGUGUGGAUCAAACACGAUAAGUAAGAUAAACCAUGUUUCAUGCUUCCCUCCACAUCCCUGAGCACAUAAUGCUCAAUUGAUGCAAAUGUGUAUUAUCAUCCAUACAGCAUUUAUGGUUUACAAAGCCCUUUUCCACAUACUGUUUCCUUUGAACCAUUCAGCAGUGGGGACUGACAGGAAGAACAUCUCCAGGGAGGAGAGGAGGCUCGGGGAUGCCAUGAUACUUGCCCUAGGUCACACUGGUGGCCAUGAAAAUGGCUUUUCUGAACUGGAAUCCGUGCGGUUCCAUUUAGAUGGAUUCUGUGCAGCUCUGAAGACACAAGUAGGCUCUCAGAGGAGGAAGAAGCUACUGGAGAAGAAAGGUAGGAAACUGCUAACAACUGGAGCUUGCUAACAAUGGAAGGAUAGAGUCCUGUGCUGUCUGCCUCCUUCCAAGACGUUAGCAGGGAAUUUGGGCCUUGACCUGGGAGAGAGGCCUUGAAACCCAUUCAGUCUAAGAAUCCAGGCUUCACUUCGAGAUCACUUCUCAGAGUACAGGUUUUUGCUUUUAACUCUUUCCUUGAAUGUUAGAUGUUUUUCCUUCAAACAUAUUGUUUCAGUUGUCAUUUUAACUUUUCCACAGAUGAGUGAGCUAGCUGGAAAAUGGUCUGGGACUUCAGUGGCACCAUGGUUUCAGCAUAAAUUCUCCUUACUCUGUUUUAAAUCUGCACUCUCAGGGAUGAGAAAGAAAACCCCUGAAACUGAUGUUCGAUUCACAAAGUACACACACAGAACACAGGAAAUCUCUGCCAAAGCGUGGCCUGGGUUUUCUUAACUUUGUCCUGGAAGUUCCGUAACCUGUGUUAUCUGCUGUUAAAAAUUUACAGGGACCAGCUGGGUCUUUGGUCCAAUGGAAUUUUUUUUUUCUUCAGGCAUGGAAAUGUCAAAUAUAGUCAUAAAAACAAUGACCUAGCCUGUACCCAGAAAUAUGAUUUCUAAACAAUUAUACUUCCAGUUAAUCUCACACUACCGUGGUCCCAAGCCAAUGAAUAAGAACUCAAUUUCUCAGCAUUUGACCUGAACAGAGAUUUGGGCUGCUUCCAGGGAAAUGCAUAUUAGACAAACCUUUCUGAAUGUACCUUUUUCUAGGCCAGGUGCAAUGGCUCACGCCUUAAUCCCAGCACUUUGGGAGGCCAAGGUGGGCAGAUCACCUAACGUCAGGAGCUUGAGACCAGCCUGGGCAACAUGGUGAAACCCUGUCUCUACUAAAAAUACAAAAAUUAUCUAGGUGUGGUGGCAGGUGCCUGUAAUCCCAGCUUCUUGGGAAUCUACUUGAGGCAGGAAAAUCUCUUGAACCUGGGAGGCAGAGGCUGCCGUGAGCUGAGAUCGCACCACUGUACUCCAGCCUGGGCAACAGAGGAAGACUUCAUCUCAAAAAAAAAAAAAAAGAAAAAAAAAAAUCACUGAAUGUACUUUUUUCUUAUUCUACUAUCAGAUCACUUUUAGUUAAUUUAUUCUUCUUUACUGGGUUCAUGCCAAAUGACUUCUAACUAAAAGAGAGGGCCCUAGAAAGAAAGAACCAAUCCUCUAUACCAUCAUAUCAUUGGCCCCCACACAUUCUCACACAUAUCACCUCCCAAAUCGAGUACUAACUUCACAUCCCUGGAGAGAGCUUAUACUCACCUGGUCUCAUUAAAGCAACACACGGUUGUACAGUUUCUCACUGUGGGACCAAUUAACCAUUUCCACAUCAGGCACCAACACAACCCCACCAUGCUGUUUGCCCUCUUUAUUUAUGUUAAGUCUCUAGUACUAAUUAUGUUAAGACACUCAAAACAAGAGCUAUAUUUUCACACCGUGGAUGGUGAUUUCGAGCAUUAGAACCAGCUUCUUCCCCCCACUGUUUCUAUGCUUUGUAAUUUGCAUACCCAAAUUUAAAGCUAUCUACAGCUUUCCACUUGAAGUUUUUUUGCAAAUGAGGUCUUAAAAGUGAUAUAGUCGAAUAUGCUCGGGCACCUUUGGCAUCUGAAAGGGAAAAUUCCCAAUAAAAGGGGCAGUGCGCAGAUGGCUG